AUGCAGCUGGAAUUUCAGGUGUGUCACCCUGGAGCUGAGGCCUCCAGAUGGACUCGUAGAAGGGAGAUGUGUAAGGCUCCAUCCCUCAGCAGCCCACGAUCUCUGAAGGUUUGCCACUGUGGCCAAUGUUUUAUGGAAGCUUCUGAGGCCGUAGAGCAGAGGGAAGUUCUGAGCACACGGAGGACAAGCCAGGGUGGUGCUGUGUGGCCGCAAACAACCCUAAGUAGGGGAUACGUGUGGGGGACAGGCUCUAACACCUUGAUUCCUUAUGUCUGUGUCUCUGCAGUAUGUUUCAUGGAGAGUCUGAGUGACAGCAACCAUGAUGAAAGUGAUACAGACUCAGUGGUGGAGAGCCUGAGCAGCCGCCAGGAUGAGGAGGCUGCAGCAACCCUCGAUGAUGUUGUGGAGGCCGGCGGGAGUGAGAAGACGGAGGAAGAGGCCCUGGCUGGGGCAAAUGAGGAGGAGGUGGGGCCGGGAACUGAGAAGGUGCAGGAGGAGGCUGCCUGCAUUGACGAGGCAGAGGAGGAGGCAGGCCCAUCCCUUGAAAAUGACGAGGAGUCCCCAGCCAGCGACCUGGUUGAGCAGGAAGACCAGCUUGCCCCCAAGGUGGACGGGAUGGACGAUGAAAGCCUAUGUUUCAUGGAGAGUCUGAGUGACAGCAACCAUGAUGAAAGUGAUACAGACUCAGUGGUGGAGAGCCUGAGCAGCCGCCAGGAUGAGGAGGCUGCAGGUAGGGAAGAGCACGCAGCUGGGAUCCAGUGGGAGAGGGUUCCUGGGAGCACCUGGGUUCCGCCUGCUGCCGGGAGAGGGAGGAAGUGGGGGAU
rnacentral:lncRNA from 9 species